rnacentral:rRNA from 1 species
UUGCUGGGGUGAUUAGUGGCGAACGGGUGAGUAACACGUGAGUAACCUGCCCUUAACUCUGGGAUAAGCCUGGGAAACUGGGUCUAAUACCGGAUAUGACUCCUCAUCGCAUGGUGGGGGGUGGAAAGCUUUUUGUGGUUUUGGAUGGACUCGCGGCCUAUCAGCUUGUUGGUGAGGUAAUGGCUCACCAAGGCGACGACGGGUAGCCGGCCUGAGAGGGUGACCGGCCACACUGGGACUGAGACACGGCCCAGACUCCUACGGGAGGCAGCAGUGGGGAAUAUUGCACAAUGGGCGCAAGCCUGAUGCAGCGACGCCGCGUGAGGGAUGACGGCCUUCGGGUUGUAAACCUCUUUCAGUAGGGAAGAAGCGAAAGUGACGGUACCUGCAGAAGAAGCGCCGGCUAACUACGUGCCAGCAGCCGCGGUAAUACGUAGGGCGCAAGCGUUAUCCGGAAUUAUUGGGCGUAAAGAGCUCGUAGGCGGUUUGUCGCGUCUGCCGUGAAAGUCCGGGGCUCAACUCCGGAUCUGCGGUGGGUACGGGCAGACUAGAGUGAUGUAGGGGAGACUGGAAUUCCUGGUGUAGCGGUGAAAUGCGCAGAUAUCAGGAGGAACACCGAUGGCGAAGGCAGGUCUCUGGGCAUUAACUGACGCUGAGGAGCGAAAGCAUGGGGAGCGAACAGGAUUAGAUACCCUGGUAGUCCAUGCCGUAAACGUUGGGCACUAGGUGUGGGGGACAUUCCACGUUUUCCGCGCCGUAGCUAACGCAUUAAGUGCCCCGCCUGGGGAGUACGGCCGCAA